GUGAGAGAAGGACAAAGCUUUACCCACUCAGUGUGGGGCCUUCACAUAAUCAGAAUGCCGCCGUAGCUGCCAAUUCACCUGUCAACAGAUAACAUUAGCUACACGUGGCCACUCGGGUCCAGAGAAUUCAUCCAUGAAUGCGCCAUGAAGGAGAAAGUGACUAGAAAUGGAAUCUUGUGGUCCUUUAGGUCCUCCUGAGCCAGGGAGCCACAGAGAUCAAGUCCAAUCCAGUGUACACUGAGCAGCCCUUGGGCUAUUUGGUGAGCGAAAAUCCCCCCCACCUGACUUUUCAAGUUCAGAGCUUCCCCAGGGGAUUAGAAUGCAGGUAUUCCCUCCUCUACUUCAUUAAGCGCUCCUGCUUGAUGCCUGGAACCACCGGAUCCCCACACAGUUCAGGCAAAGCCAGUCCCAGGCCAGAGCUUUGCAGAGACACGAGUCAGAGGGACAGA
rnacentral:lncRNA from 1 species